rnacentral:lncRNA from 1 species
GUUCAAUGUAUCCAGUCCUUUUUUUUAUUUCAAACAUCAAGAUGGAGUAAUUUAGUAUUUGGGGAGGGCAGGGAACACUUAGGACAUCAGAACUGUAUUGCUAUUUAUUAUUUGCAUCCUCUAAUAACCAACCUAGCCCCAAUCAACAAUACAGUCUUCAAAAUUCCUUUAAUCAAACAGGAUUUUCAGGAGAUGUUUAUAUUAAUAAGCAGACUAAGUGCCAAGUUUACAUUUGCUUUCUCCUUUAUGCACCACCAGGAUGCGUGCAUUGAGAGUGGAAUACAUGACCAGCAAAUGAAUGGGUAAGUGUCACACGCAAACAGCAUGACUAGAAAUUUAAGAAGCAAAGCGAUAAGAACCUUAGGGAAAGCAAAAUUCAUAAAAGUUUAGAAUUACAAGAGGCCUUAAUAGACCAUUUAAUCCAUUCUGAUGACAACUCCAGACAGAUGACAAUCUAUCCUAUUUUUAAAAGCCUCCAGAUUUCCAACCUCCCUAGAUGUCUCAUUCUGCCAUAUAAUUCUGUCAUGUGAUUUGGGGGAAAUAUUACAAGACUAUCCUUUGCCCUACCUAAUGAUCUAUUUUCUCAAAUAAUAGAACAAUACAUUUUAACUCACUUCCAAGAUACGCAAACGUGUACAGGUGCAUAAUACACAUGCAUGUAUAUAUAUAUGCACAUAUAUGCACACAGGCACCUAAGACACUCAGUUUUGCUUGUAUAAACACACACUAUAGAAACCCAGACAAGCAAAGGCACAUAUCCACCCUAUCCCAAUCAAAAAAGCACUAACAACAUCAAAUAACGAUUUUGACCUAAAAAUAACCAAUGGAAAUUAAUUUUAUAAAACCUUUAAGGUAACCAGGUUUCUUCUAUGAAUAAACAAAGCUUAUCUGUUUUCCACAAGUACUGCUUCUUUUCAGUACCCACCACAGGCAGAAUUCUAAAAACACAUAUGUACUGGAUCCAAGCAGAAAGUAAUUUGUUAAUGUUUGAUUGUUAAAACCAUUUAGCUAACAAUCAUUUUGGAAGAGGGCCCAAUGAAAUAGAUAGCAAUGACAGAGUACAGCCAGUGAUAACGAACAAGUAACCAGUUUUAAUCAAGCAGGCCAAAGAAGUGACUCAAAUAAAACAAAUCAUUUUUGGAACAUAUAUAGAAUGGGGAAGUCCCAAUCAACAAUGAGCCAAAUACUACUUGAAAAAAUUAAGCGUUAGGAAAUACACUAAAAUGUUAACCAUGACAUGCUAUCUCUAGAAAUUGAAUUACAAGGAUGAGUUAGUUUGUUCAGAUUUGGUAUUCCUAUUAUUCUGAUUAUCCAUAUUUUCUACUGUAUUAUAGACAAUAUUUUAAAAUUAAGGCAAAUUCUGUCCCCGUGUUUCACAGCAAUUUAGGAUGGAGAGCAUGUCUUUUAUAUAACCUCCAGAGAGAGGUGGUACCAGCUCCGGUCCUCCCCGUGUCUCCCGUGAACCUGCCACCCAUCACAGAAAAGGUUUCAUCAUUUUCCCUGGGACAGCUCCCUGUCAUCAUCAUCCUCAUCUCAUCCCACAGGCUAAACAAUGCAUCUCGUCUCCCCUCCAGGUAGCAGAGGCUUUAUAAAUUAUUUUAUCGAAGUGGGAGAUUUGGAGAAAGGUUCACUAAGAUGAUAAGCUGCCCAAGGCAGAGGAAAGGAGAAAGACACCUCGUCCCAACCUCCACCCCUCAGAAGGCAGACGGCAACAGGGGGCACCGGGGUCACGGCUCUCUCGGAUCCCGAAAGAGUCGGGCAGCCGCACCCCCAGCCCGACCCCGGCCAGGACAGCGGCGCUCGUUAGCGAAAAAGGGGUGGGGGAGAAGGUCCGAGAUCCGACCCGGAGGGCCGAGAGACAUGUGCGGCGAGCGGCGGGAGGGGCGGGUCCUUCCGCCCUCUGGGGCGAGCGGCUCGGCUUCGAACGCGGCUCUGAAGGCGCUCGGGCAGCGGGAGGCCUCCGGGGCUGGAGGGCCGCACCGCGCCGAGGGCUCCCACAGGCCUCGCCCGCCGCCCACCCGGGACCCCGGCGGCCCCGCUCGACAGCGGCCCGGGAACGGUCCCAGCCGGCCCUGCCCGCCGGCGCGGCACAGGCGGCCAGGAGGGCAGAAGAUGAGGGGUUACCGUACGCUGCUCCGGAGCUAGCAGGGUUAGGACGCGGCUCCAGCGACCCGAAGCCGGCUCGGCAGCGGCUGCGGCGGCCGCGUCCUUUAUUUUUGCUGCAGCAGCGGCGACUUGUCAAAGGGAACGACGUAAGAGGCGGUGGCAGCGGCGGCAGGACUGCCAGAACCCUGCAGAUGCUGGGGGCUGCCACUCCUCGGCUUUCUUUUCCGCCGAGGAACGCGGAGGUCUUUGUUGAAUGCCUACCAUAAACCAGGAACUGAUUAUACUAAGUUGAGCAAGCUUUACUAUCUGCUCUCAAGGAGCUUAUUGUCUAACUGGAGGAUGCAGAAAAGAAAAUAGAUAAUUAUAACACCAUGUGAAGAGAGUGCAAGUGACAAGGGUAUGAGAGGAAGGAUCCAGUGAAAGGAAGGACAAAGAGCGGAAAUGCUUCUUGGAGAAGGAGGUUUAGGAGGAUGGCACACAUAAUGAGGAUCCAGCUCAUUUCAUGAACAGUGAUUCACAAAUCAACUCCAAAAUAACUUCAACAAAUUGCUCUGUUGUAAAAUUUGAAAUUGACCAAACCCAAGGACCGAUUAAAAUUAUCCUGGAAGACAAAGACUUGCACAAAAAAACAGCCAUCAAUAAAAAGCAGUAUGAUACAAGCUAAAAGAAGGUGCAGAAAUAUAAAUAUUCCCAGAACUCAGAAAAGAGACAACAUUGUUGGACAGAGAGCAUUUCAUCCAAGUGGUAGAGUUUGAGAGGGGAGCUGACAGCUAAAUAUAAAAACUUACUCAUCCUGAUAGUAAUGUAUUCUCAAAACACCAACCUUCAAGCCACAAAAGCGACCUAGAAUUUUUGUUGGGUGUAUCUACAUAUAAGAACACAUUCAGUACCUUUUUUCUCACUAAUGAAUAAUUGGUCUGCCCAAGAGGUUUGAAGGGAAGUGGAGAUACUAAAAAUAGGACCACAAGAUUGGCAGGUAGUUCUUUUGGAAAUGGAGUCCCUUCUUGCUGAAUGCAAACCUUAUAGGCUUCCCACUUGAAAUCCAUAUUCUACAUGAAAUAUCACAUGAACCAGGACAACCCACCAACUAAACAGCAUUAACAACUUCCCUCACUAAUUCCUCAAGCCUGCAAUGCAAUAACCGUUUUUAGAUAAAUUAUUUUUACAACAAUUUGUUAGUGUUGUUUCAUCACACAAUUGACUGGAGCAGACACAGAUGAACAUUUUCUCACUCAGCAGCAGGGAAUGGAACAUUGAUGCUGGGAAAAGAAAAUGAAGCUACAGGAAAAAAGUGUGCCUACAAUGAAGAGAAGGGAACUAACAUUUAUAUAGUGCUAUCCAUGCCCAACAUGAUGGUCACACAGUGGGAACAAGAUGAACAAAGCAAAUCUUUGUUCUGGAAAGAAAAUAAUAGAGAGAGUGUAUAUAUAAAUAAUUAUAACACAAGUUAGAAAGUUCUGAGUACAAUAGGAGAACUUUUCCCCCUUUUAAAGGAUUGGGGAGCUUAGAAGAGGGAUAGUUGAAUUCCAGCAAGUUGUAUCAGGGAUAGUUCUUGAGAAACGGGGCCUUGAAGAUUGAGUGGUUAGUUCUGGACAUGUGGGAACAGGGAACAUUCUAGGCACAAAGACUAGAAUAAGCAAAAGUGUGCUCAGGAUCAGCAGGCAGUCUAGUUUAGUUGUGGCUAUGUGGUACUUACGUUGUCCUGGAAUCUUGGUUGCAAGUGACAGAAACCCAACCUGAACUUGCUUGAGCAACAGUGAAGGAGAAGAAUUAGCUGAAGGAAUCCAAAAAAGAGUUGAACAGUCAAACUAAGGUGGAAGAGGGAAAAUGAACCAAGGCUUCAGGAACUUCUGGAACAGGAACUUCAGCACCACCAGAACUCUCUUGCCUCUUUGCUUCCCUUGCUGCACUGGCUUCAGUUUCUCUCAAGACAAAGCUAGUAGCUUUCUUCAUAUAUCCGGAAAUACGGCACCCUCAAGUUUUACAUCUUACUAUUUUCAUCACUAGAAAGGGACUAACGCUCAAUUUAAGUUUGAAAAAUCAUGGGGGAAAAAAGUGCUGGUUGGCCAGGCUUGGAUCUGUGCCCAUCCCCAGAACAAUGCCAGGAGGCCAAGGUUUGGUAGGAGAGACAGCACCAAGCCCUACUACAACAGCUGUGGAACACAUCUGGACCAUGUCAACAUCUCUUCCUUGUCUCUUGUAGCUGUGCCUAGCUGAACCCACCCAGGAGAUCAUCCGGCUGCCCAUCCUCCUGACCUCUGCAGAAGAGAAGGGCCUGACCUCCCAGUCCUUGCCAAGCACUGGCAAUCUCAGGCUGCUGUGACAACAGAGAGAUGUAAAGCCAAGUGGAUAGCUAGACUUGCGGCUGCCUCUGGCCCUGAGUUAAAGCUUUUUCAAAAAAUGGCAAUAACGUGACAAUGAUACUAACAACAACAGUAAUAAAU